rnacentral:rRNA from 1 species
UGCCAGCCGCCGCGGUAAUACGGAGGGUGCGAGCGUUAAUCGGAAUCACUGGGCGUAAAGCGUACGUAGGCGGCAAAGUCAGUCAGGCGUGAAAGCCCUCGGCUCAACCUGGGAGUGGCAUUCGAUACUGCAGAGCUAGAGUAUGGUAGAGGGAAGUGGAAUUUCCGGUGUAGCGGUGAAAUGCGUAGAUAUCGGAAGGAACACCGGUGGCGAAGGCGACUUCCUGGGCCAAUACUGACGCUGAGGCGCGAAAGCGUGGGUAGCAAACAGGAUUAGAUA